GGCUGGUUAGCUCAGUCAGUUGAGCGUGGCACUAGCAAUGCCACGGUCGUGGGUUCGAUUCCCGUUUGGUCCC
rnacentral:tRNA from 1 species